rnacentral:rRNA from 1 species
CUAAGCGUGAAGUGAAGCACAUAAA